GGGAGCAGCAUUUUAAAGUAGUAGCAGAGGCAGAGCACUGAUUUUCUGCUCCUUGGUUAUUGUCUCUGGGCUAUUCGGGCCACAUAUCUUAUUCAGCUCAGUUUGCUAGGAUCUCCUUUGGACUACACUGAACAUCACACUAUCUGGAGGCACAUGAUCUCUUUCCUGAACUCUGCAUCUAUUUCUUCCUUCUGUCCAGAUGGAUCACUGAAAUUGAUUCCAAAAUCACACGAACCAGUUCUUACAGUACCUUGGCAUAGAGUUCUUCUGGUGCUCGUAGCCUGACUUCAUCAAGAAAAGGUUAAUCUUGUCAAGGAAGACAGGAAAAAAAAAAAGGUGAACAGCUCUUGCUUUCUCUAUGUAGUUUAGUUAUCACCAUCCCAUCUGCAUCAUGGAUUACUUGAACCUAUUCCCAUAGAACACCCUCAAUGGGAGUAAGAAAGAAUCACAUCUGAAAACAGCUGUAACUCUUAUUUUAUUUUCCAUUUGAUAUUUUACAUAUUGUGAAAUAUUUAUCCAACAAGCAAUGAUCACAUCUAUAUAAACAUUAAUGUAAUUGCAGCAAGGAAUCAAUCAGGUUGAUAAAAAAAAGCAUGAGUAAUACACAAAAGCAUGAAAAUGUAAGCAGUGUAUGCAGUUUUUCCUUGCUAUAUGUUUCAUUUUUUAAAAGUCAUUUUCAAACGUAUCUCAGGAGACAUAAAAGCAAAGAGAUAUAAUGACCUUCAUGCUUCUCAAAUCAAACAUCUUCUACUAGUGUCUGUAGGCUUUUUUUUCUAUUUUCUUACUAGUUCAGCGUCUUGACUUCACCUGUCUAACUGUAGAAGAGAUAUUACUUUCCAGUUACUGAAAGGAAAAAAAAGUUCCAAUAUUAUGAAUGGUUCAUUGUUAAGUUCUGCUUAAGAACUUAUAUUUACAUAGCACUUAAAGGCUCACAAAGCUCUUUACAUGUAUUUUUUAACUGAUCCAACUCUGAAACCAUUGCAAGUACUACCCUCUUUUACAGAUAAGAAAAUAGAAACAGAGCAAGAUAAUGUAUGUUUCCCAGGUCACCCAGACACAAAGUUUAUGAGGAAGGAUUUCAACACAGUUCUUCCUGACUCAUUCUAUAUAGUCAUCCAUUCCAGCUCUCAAUGUUAUCACUAAUGGGUUCACUUUUGAUUGUUUUAAAGGGAAAUAUAAUCAAAGGAAUGUUACAUAUAUUAACAUUUUACAUUACCCUAUAAGUUUUAUAAAUUUAAGAAACCAUUUAAAUUUAAGUUUACAUAUGUGUAUGUAUAAGUGUGUUUUUUAUAAUAGAAGAUCCCUAGAAUUUUGAGGAAUUGACUCCAUUGAAGAUUAUUGGAAAGCAUUUCUCUGGUUGUAUAGAUCUGUCUUCAUUUGUUUGAAAAGUUUUUUUUUUUUUUGUAAUUGUGUUCUUAUAAU